rnacentral:rRNA from 1 species
GACGAACGCUGGCGGCGUGCUUAACACAUGCAAGUCGAACGGUAAGGCCCUUCGGGGUACACGAGUGGCGAACGGGUGAGUAACACGUGGGUGAUCUGCCCUGCACUUCGGGAUAAGCCUGGGAAACUGGGUCUGAUACCGGAUAGGACAACUGCCUGCAUGGGUGGGGGGUGGAAAGUUCCGGCGGUAUGCGAUGAACCCGCGGCCUAUCAGCUUGUUGGUGGGGUAGUGGCCUACCAAGGCGACGACGGGUAGCCGGCCUGAGAGGGCGACCGGCCACACUAGGACUGAGACACGGCCCAGACUCCUACGGGAGGCAGCAGUGGGGAAUAUUGCACAAUGGGCGAAAGCCUGAUGCAGCGACGCCGCGUGAGGGAUGACGGCCUUCGGGUUGUAAACCUCUUUCAGCAGGGACGAAGCGCGAGUGACGGUACCUGCAGAAGAAGCACCGGCUAACUACGUGCCAGCAGCCGCAGUAAUAC